rnacentral:rRNA from 1 species
AGGUGCAUGGCCGUCGUCAGUUCGUACUGUGAAGCAUCCUGUUAAGUCAGGCAACGAGCGAGACCCACGCCAACAGUUGCCAGCUCGUCCUCCGGGAUGGUGGGGACACUGUUGGGACCGCCUCUGCUAAAGAGGAGGAAGGAAUGGGCAACGGUAGGUCAGCAUGCCCCGAAUUAUCUGGGCUACACGCGGGCUACAAUGGGUGGGACAAUGGGUAUCGACACCGAAAGGUGAAGGCAAUCUCCUAAACCCAUCCGUAGUUCGGAUUGUGGGCUGCAACUCGCCCACAUGAAGCUGGAAUCUGUAGUAAUCGUGUCUCAAAAUGGCACGGUGAAUAUGUCCCUGCUCCUU